rnacentral:tRNA from 1 species
GCAGCAGUGGUUCAGUGGUAGAAUUCUUGCUUUCCAAGCAGGAUAGCUGGUUUUGAUUCCUGGCCAGUGUA